rnacentral:misc_RNA from 1 species
UUAACUAUUAUAUAGUACUCAGACGACACAUAUUACAAGAGUUGGUUGGGUCUCUGGCGGGCACACACAGGCCGAAGCCCGUGGCAAGAAGCGUCCCGCCAAAGCAACAAAGAGAAUAGAUAUCAAGGGUGGGAGGUCUACCCGUGAGGGCAAGAACUCUGUAAUGAUCCUUCCGCAGGUUCACCUACGGAAA